CUGCGUCUAAGGACAACUCCUAUUGUGCUUAGAAUGGAGGUUUAGUGUGCUUUUCCUGUUAAGGACCAAAUGGUUAUACAAUUUCUGGGCUCAGUGAAAAAAGGAAAAUGUUGGACUCCUGUUGAAAUUAUUAGAAGUUUCAAGAUGGUAACAGAAGGGCAUUGAGGCGAGCACACUGCACUUUGCAGCUUUGCAGUGCGAGCCCUGCAUUAUGGCACGAGUCAGACACCAUGAGGCUGGGUGUUGUGUCCUCAUUUAUCACUGGACGAGACUGAGACACAGAGGAGCUAUGUCUUACUCAAGACCAGACUGCUUGGAUGCUGAAGACAGGCUCUUGCUCUGUUGCCCAGUCUGGAAGACAAGGAUGUGAUCACAGCUCACUGCAGCCUCGACCUCUGGGCUGAAGUGAUCCUCCCACCUCAGCCUCCG
rnacentral:lncRNA from 13 species